ensembl:lncRNA
AAGCUGAUUGACCACAGUACUUGACUUUUCCUUCAAGCACCUGGGAUCUUUCCCACCCAGGAAUUGAAGCCAUGUCUCUUGUGUAUCCACACUGAGCAGGCGGACUGUUUACCAACUGCGCCACCUAGAAAGCCCAGACAAUAAAAAGGAACUUCUAUCCAGCUGAUGGGAGGGAAAUCGGCGCUCUUCCCCUGGAAAUGACUUGACAUUACUUAGUGAAGCUGAACAGACAGAUACCGUACAACUCCUCAGUACUCAAAAUGGAGCCCUGUGAUCAGCAUCGCCUGGAAGCCUCCUGGAAAUGCAGAAUUCAGGUCCCCAUUAUGGACCUAUGGAGUCAAGAUCUGCCUUGAGAUGCCCACUGGAGGCCCCUGGGGAUCUUUAAAAAGCCCAGACGCCUAGGUGGUACCCAGACCGGCUAAACUGUAAUCUCAGGUUGGGACAUGGGCAUUAGCAUUUUAAAAAGCUUCUCAUUUCAACCUAUAACUGGGGUUAAGAAGC